UACGUAGGGUGCGAGCGUUAAUCGGAAUUACUGGGCGUAAAGCGUGCGCAGGCGGUUCGUUAAGUCAGAUGUGAAAGCCCCGAGCUCAACUUGGGAACUGCAUUUGAAACUGGCGGGCUGGAGUGUGGCAGAGGGGGGUGGAAUUCCACGUGUAGCAGUGAAAUGCGUAGAGAUGUGGAGGAACACCGAUGGCGAAGGCAGCCCCCUGGGCCAACACUGACGCUCAGGCACGAAAGCGUGGGGAGCAAACAAG
rnacentral:rRNA from 1 species